rnacentral:rRNA from 1 species
GACGAACGCUGGCGGCGUGCUUAACACAUGCAAGUCGAGCGGAAAGGCCCUUCGGGGUACUCGAGCGGCGAACGGGUGAGUAACACGUGAGUAACCUGCCCCAGACUUUGGGAUAACCCUCGGAAACGGGGGCUAAUACCGGAUACGACACAGCUUCGCAUGGGGUCUGUGUGGAAAGUUUUUCGGUUUGGGAUGGGCUCGCGGCCUAUCAGCUUGUUGGUGGGGUGAUGGCCUACCAAGGCGACGACGGGUAGCCGGCCUGAGAGGGCGACCGGCCACACUGGGACUGAGACACGGCCCAGACUCCUACGGGAGGCAGCAGUGGGGAAUAGUGCACAAUGGGCGGAAGCCUGAUGCAGCGACGCCGCGUGAGGGAUGACGGCCUUCGGGUUGUAAACCUCUUUCAGCAGGGACGAAGCGUAAGUGACGGUACCUGCAGAAGAAGCGCCGGCCAACUACGUG